GAUGAACGCUAGCGACAGGCUUAACACAUGCAAGUCGAGGGGCAGCAUAAAAGUUACUUCGGUAAUUUUGGUGGCGACCGGCGCACGGGUGAGUAACGCGUAUGCAACCUACCUAUCAGAGGGGGAUAGCCCAUUGAAAGAUGGAUUAAUACCGGAUGGUAUAUGAUUACUGCAUGGUAAUUAUAUUAAAGAAUUUCGGUAAAAGAUGAGGAUGCGUUCCAUUAGAUAGUUGGUAGGGUAACGGCUUACCAAGUCUACGAUGGAUAGGGGUUCUGAGAGGAAGGUCACCCACACUGGUACUGAGACACGGACCAGACUCCUACGGGAGGCAGCAGUGAGGAAUAUUGGUCAAUGGGCGAGAGCCUGAACCAGCCAAGUAGCGUGGGGGAUGACUGCCCUAUGGGUUGUAAACCUCUUUUAUAUGGGAAUAAUAGGUUCUACGUGUAGAAUUUUGCAUGUACCAUUAUGAAUAAGCAUCGGCUAACUCCGUGCCAGCCGCCGCCGUAAUAC
rnacentral:rRNA from 1 species